rnacentral:rRNA from 1 species
ACCGCUAAGACCCCAUAUGCCGGAAGGUGAAAUAGUUUUCUGCCUGAGGAUGAGCUCGCGUCCGAUUAGCUAGUUGGUGGGGUAAGAGCCUACCAAGGCGACGAUCGGUAGCUGGUCUGAGAGGAUGAUCAGCCACACUGGGACUGAGACACGGCCCAGACUCCUACGGGAGGCAGCAGUGGGGAAUUUUCCGCAAUGGGCGAAAGCCUGACGGAGCAAGACCGCGUGAGGGAAGAAGGUCUGUGGAUUGUAAACCUCUUUUGAUUGGGAAGAAGCACUGACGGUACCAAUCGAAUCAGCCUCGGCUAACUCCGUGCCAGCAGCCGCGGUAAUACGGAGGAGGCAAGCGUUAUCCGGAAUUAUUGGGCGUAAAGCGUCCGUAGGUGGUUUGUCAAGUCUUCUGUCAAAGCGCGGAGCUUAACUCCGUAAAGGCAGAGGAAACUGACAGGCUAGAGUGCGAUAGGGGCAAGGGGAAUUCCCAGUGUAGCGGUGAAAUGCGUAGAUAUUGGGAAGAACACCGGUGGCGAAAGCGCCUUGCUGGGUCUGCACUGACACUGAGGGA